GACGAACGCUGGCGGCGUGCUUAACACAUGCAAGUCGAACGGAAAGGCCCUGCUUUUGUGGGGUGCUCGAGUGGCGAACGGGUGAGUAACACGUGAGUAACCUGCCCUUGACUUUGGGAUAACUUCAGGAAACUGGGGCUAAUAACGGAUAGGAGCUCCUGCUGCAUGGUGGGGGUUGGAAAGUUUCGGCGGUUGGGGAUGGACGCGCGGCUUAUCAGCUUGUUGGUGGGGGAGUGGCUUACCAAGGCUUUGACGGGUAGGCGGCCUGAGAGGGUGACCGGCCACAAUGGGACUGAGAUACGGCGCAGACUCCUACGUGAGGCAGCAGUGGGGAAUAUUGUACAAUGGGCGGAAGUCUGAUGCAGCGACGCCGCGUGCGGGAUGACGGUCUGCGGGGUGUGAACCGCUUUCGGCUGUGACGAAGCGUGAGUGACGGUAAUGGGUAAAGAAGCACCGGCUAACUACGUG
rnacentral:rRNA from 1 species